CAGAUGCUGAUAUAUUAAAAACCAUUAUUAAUCAUAGACUUACCAAACGGAAAUUUUAAAAACCUCCAAAAAAAUCAGUCGUACUUUUCACACAGUUGGACGUAUGGCAACCAUUCCUCGGCAAUUUUUCAUAUAAUAGCGAAUUGACGCUAAACCAUGAAAAAUUAUCCAAGAUAAUGCAAAGCGGUUUCUUUAUAACAAUUUUUGGCAAAAAACGAUUGAUGAAGAUAAUGAUGGUAAAAUAUAGUGUAGUAAGCUUUUGGAAAAUUUGUUAUUAUUGUAUCGUGAUGACCACUCUGAAACUACUUGUUUUAAAAAAAUCUUUAAAUCCUUUUAUUACUAAGGAU